UACGAAGGGGGCUAGCGUUGCUCGGAAUCACUGGGCGUAAAGCGCACGUAGGCGGAUUCCUAAGUCGGGGGUGAAAUCCUGGAGCUCAACUCCAGAACUGCCUUCGAUACUGGAGAGCUUGAGUCCGGGAGAGGUGAGUGGAACUGCGAGUGUAGAGGUGAAAUUCGUAGAUAUUCGCAAGAACACCAGUGGCGAAGGCGCUCACUGGCCCGUAACUGACGCUGAGGUGCGAAAGCGUGGGAGCAAACAGG
rnacentral:rRNA from 1 species